rnacentral:rRNA from 1 species
UUGUGCUUGCUUGUCUUGCGCUCUCACUGCUCUGACGGAUGCUUUUAUUAGACCAAACCGCUGAGGACUUGAGGGUUCGCUCUCUAGUUCGACUCGUAUAAUGGUGACUCUGGAUAACCUUGACGAGCGCACGUACUCCUCUUCUGAGCGAGACGGCGCUGCCACUUUCGAGUGUCUGCCUUAUCAGCUAUCAACCGUUCGUUAUGCGCGACCGAUGGCUUUGACGGGUAACGGGGAAUCAGGGUUCGAUUCCGGAGAGGCAGCCUGAGAGACGGCUACCACGUCCAAGGACGGCAGCAGGCACGCAAAUUACCCAAUCCCAGCAAAUGGGGGAGGUAGUGACGAAAUCUAACGAUGCGGGCGCCCUUUCUGGGGCCCCGCAAUCGGAAUGGGCACUUUCUAAACAACCUGUUGAGAACCUACUGAAGGGCAAGUCUGGUGCCAGCAGCCGCGGUAAUUCCAGCUUCAGCAGCAUCUAUUAAAGUUGCUGCGGUUAAAAGGCUCGCAGUUGAAUGUCUGUAUCGAGCGCAGGUCAGGUGGACGUUGGGGCGUGGAAGUACGGGCAGUUGGAUGUUCGGAGGGCAUUCGUGCUCGAUGGCUCCUUCGGCUUUUCCACACACCCCCGUCCGUGACAAGCCUCCUCGCUCGGGUACAUAACGGGAAUCGGUCAAACGGAGUGUGGUCGGGAGUUGAGGUGCGUGGUUUCGGCUGCGUGCUCCUUCUUUCGGCUGCGUUAAGCUCCAUCGGUUUCACGGUCACCUUGAGUAAAUCAGAGUGCUCAAAGCAGUCGUAGGGGCCUUGCGCCCUGUGAACAGUCUUGACGGACUGACUUGGUUUUGCAUGGCAUGUCGGAAGACGACGUCGUGUGCUGGCUCAGAGGAUAAAUCAGUGGUACAAGCCAGCCUCGACGUAAUGAUUAAAAGGGACGGUCGAGGGCAUUGGUAUUGCGAGGCGAGAGGUGAAAUUCUGUGACCCCCGCAAGACCUCCUGAAGCGAAAGCGUCUGCCAAGGACGUUUUCAUUAAUCAUGAACGAAAGUUAGAGGAUCGAAGGCGAUCAGAUACCGCCCUAGUUCUAACCCUAAACGAUGCCAACCAUCAAUCCGCGCGUAGCACCCUUCUUAACGGGCUCGGCGGGCAGCUCCCACUCACGGGAAACCAGAGCCUCUGGGUUCCGGGGGGAGUCUGGUUGCAAAGCUGAAACUUAAAGGAAUUGACGGAAAGGCACCACCAGGCGUGGAGCCUGCGGCUUAAUUUGACUCAACACGGGCCAUCUCACCAGGCCAGCACUCUUGUACGAUUGACAGAUUGAGAGCUCUUUCUCGAUUCAGUGGAUGGUGGUGCAUGGCCGUUCUUAGUUGGUGGAGUGAUCUGUCUGGUUAAUUCCGAUAACGAACGAGACUCUCCCCUGCUAACUAGUCGGUUGGAUCUUGAUCAGCGGGUUGCGUGCCGAGUAACUCUCGCUGCGCGUCUGGUGCGUCGCUGGCUCUCGGGCUGGUUGCGUGUCCGCGCGUGUGGCGUUGGAUGCCUUGGAUCACACUGCACCCCAAGUCCGCCGCUUAUGCUAUAACUCUUCUUAGAGGGAUUCACGGCACUGAAGCCGUAAGAGACUGAGAGCAAUAACAGGUCUGUGAUGCCCUUAGAUGCUCUGGGCCGCACGCGCGCUACAAUGCCGGGCACAGCAGGUGUUUCUCCUGCUCCGACAGGAGCGGGUAACCCUCUGAAAGCCAGUGUUCUUGCAAGUGCUUCCUCCCUCGUGGAGUUGCACAGAGGCGUGC